AUGAGGGUGAUCUGUCUGCCAGGGUUGAUUCGGCUGAUCUGACUGGCUAAGUGAUGUCCCCUUCCUCCCUCACUGCUCCAUGUGCGUCCCUCCUGAAGCUGCAUGCCUGGUCAAAGAGGACGACCUUCCCUGAAUAGAGGAGGACCAGUUUUCAGUCAGGGGUAUAGGAGUAGCUAUGCUCCCAUGCUAGAACCUCCAGACAAACUCUCAAAGAACACAGAAUUCGAAAUGCUUUCCGUGGCUUUCUUCGACUAGUCUAGUAUGUUCUUGCUGUUUUGUC
rnacentral:snRNA from 1 species